UACGGAAGGGGCAAGCGUUGUUCGGAAUCAUUGGGCGUAAAGGGCGCGUAGGCGGGAUGGCAAGUCGGUCGUGAAAUCCCUCGGCUCAACUGAGGAUCGUCGAUCGAUACUGCCGUUCUUGAGGAUUGCAGAGGAGACUGAAUUCCCGGUGUAGCGGUGAAAUGUGUAGAGAUCGGGAGGAACACCGGUGGCGAAGGCGGGUCUCUGGGCAAUUCCUGA
rnacentral:rRNA from 1 species